GAUGAACGCUAGCGACAGGCUUAACACAUGCAAGUCGAGGGGCAGCGGGGAGCAGCAAUGCUCUGCCGGCGACCGGCGGACGGGUGAGUAACGCGUAUGCAACCAACCUACCAGCGGGGGAUAAUCCACCGAAAGGUGGUCUAAGACCGCAUAAGACAGGGGCACCGCAUGGUGCUAUUUGUUAAAGGGAACACUGGUAGACGGGCAUGCGUUCCAUUAGGCAGUUGGAGGGUAACGGCCCACCAAACCGACGAUGGAUAGGGGUUCUGAGAGGAAGGUCCCCCCACAUUGGUACUGAGACACGGACCAAACUCCUACGGGAGGCAGCAGUGAGGAAUAUUGGUCAAUGGGCGGAAGCCUGAACCAGCCAAGUCGCGUGAAGGAAGAAGGAUCUAUGGUUUGUAAACUUCUUUUUGAAGGGGGAUAAAGUGCGUCACGAGUGGUGCAUUGCAGGUACCCUUGGAAUAAGCAUCGGCUAACUCCGUGCCAGCAGCCGCGGUAAU
rnacentral:rRNA from 1 species